GACGAACGCUGGCGGCGUGCUUAACACAUGCAAGUCGAACGGAAAGGCCCUGCUUUUGUGGGGUGCUCGAGUGGCGAACGGGUGAGUAACACGUGAGUAACCUGCCCUUGACUUUGGGAUAACUUCAGGAAACUGGGGCUAAAACCGGAUAGGAGCUCCUGCUGCAUGGUGGGGGUUGGAAAGUUUCGGCGGUUGGGGAUGGACUCGCGGCUUAUCAGCUUGUUGGUGGGGUAGUGGCUUACCAAGGCUUUGACGGGUAGCCGGCCUGAGAGGGUGACCGGCCACAUUGGGACUGAGAUACGGCCCAGACUCCUACGGGAGGCAGCAGUGGGGAAUAUUGCACAAUGGGCGGAAGCCUGAUGCAGCAACGCCACGUGCGGGAUGACGGCCUUCGGGUUGUAAACCGCUUUCGCCUGUGACGAAGCGUGAGUGACGGUAAUGGGUAAAGAAGCACCGGCUAACUACGUG
rnacentral:rRNA from 1 species